UACGUAGGAUGCAAGCGUUGUCCGGAAUUACUGGGCGUAAAGAGCGCGUAGGCGGCUCCUUGCGUAGGCGGUGAAAGCCCCCGGCUCACCUGGGGGAGUGCCGCCUAAACGGGGGAGCUAGAGGGCGGUAGGGGCUGGCGGAACGCCCGGAGUAGCAGUGAAAUGCGUUGAGAUCGGGCAGAACACCAGUGGCGAAGGCGGCCGGCUGGGCCGUACCUGACGCUGAGGCGCGAAAGCCAGGGGAGCGAACGGA
rnacentral:rRNA from 1 species